rnacentral:rRNA from 1 species
UUCCGCAAUGGGCGAAAGCCUGACGGAGCAACGCCGCGUGAGGGAUGAAGGCCUCUGGGCUGUAAACCUCUUUUCUCAAGGAAGAAGAACUGACGGUACUUGAGGAAUAAGCCACGGCUAAUUCCGUGCCAGCAGCCGCGGUAAUACGGGAGUGGCAAGCGUUAUCCGGAAUUAUUGGGCGUAAAGCGUCCGCAGGCGGCCUCGUAAGUCUGUCGUUAAAGCGUGGAGCUUAACUCCAUUUCAGCGAUGGAAACUGUGAGGCUUGAGUGUGGUAGGGGCAGAGGGAAUUCCCGGUGUAGCGGUGAAAUGCGUAGAUAUCGGGAAGAACACCAGUGGCGAAGGCGCUCUGCUGGGCCAUAACUGACGCUCAUGGACGAAAGCCAGGGGAGCGAAAGGGAUUAGAU